GAUGAACGCUGGCGGCGUGCCUAAUACAUGCAAGUCGAGCGAACAGAUGAGGAGCUUGCUCCUCUGACGUUAGCGGCGGACGGGUGAGUAACACGUGGUUAACCUACCUAUAAGACUGGGAUAACUUCGGGAAACCGGAGCUAAUACCGGAUAAUAUAUUGAACCGCAUGGUUCAAUAGUGAAAGACGGUUUUGCUGUCACUUAUAGAUGGAUCCGCGCCGCAUUAGCUAGUUGGUAAGGUAACGGCUUACCAAGGCGACGAUGCGUAGCCGACCUGAGAGGGUGAUCGGCCACACUGGAACUGAGACACGGUCCAGACUCCUACGGGAGGCAGCAGUAGGGAAUCUUCCGCAAUGGGCGAAAGCCUGACGGAGCAACGCCGCGUGAGUGAUGAAGGUCUUCGGAUCGUAAAACUCUGUUAUUAGGGAAGAACAAAUGUGUAAGUAACUAUGCACGUCUUGACGGUACCUAAUCAGAAAGCCACGGCUAACUACGUG
rnacentral:rRNA from 1 species